UACGGAGGGAGCUAGCGUUGUUCGGAAUUACUGGGCGUAAAGCGCACGUAGGCGGUCAGCCAAGUCAGAGGUGAAAGCCCGGAGCUCAACUUCGGAACUGCCUUUGAAACUAGUUGACUUGAAUCUUGGAGAGGCGGGUGGAAUUCCGAGUGUAGAGGUGAAAUUCGUAGAUAUUCGGAAGAACACCAGUGGCGAAGGCGGCCCGCUGGACAAGUAUUGACGCUGAGGUGCGAAAGCGUGGGGAGCAAACAGG
rnacentral:rRNA from 1 species